CCUACGGGGUGCAGCAGUGAGGAAUAUUGGUCAAUGGCCGGAAGGCUGAACCAGCCAUGCCGCGUGAAGGUCAGUGCCCUAUGGGCGUUAAACUUCUUUUGUGCGGGAGCAAUAAUGGUCACGUGUGGCCAGACGAGAGUACCGUACGAAUAAGCAUCGGCUAACUCCGUGCCAGCAGCCGCGGUAAUACGGGGGAUGCAAGCGUUAUCCGGGUUUAUUGGGUUUAAAGGGUGCGUAGGCUGGGAGGUAAGUCAGCGGUGAAAUGCCCCCGCUCAACGGGGUGAAGUGCCAUUGAUACUGCCUGGCUGGAGUGCGGAUGCGGUGGGAGGAAUGUGUGGUGUAGCGGUGAAAUGCAUAGAUAUCACACAGAACACCGAUUGCGAAGGCAUCUCACGAAUCCGCGAUUGACGCUGAUGCACGAAAGCGUGGGUAUCAAACAGGAUUAGAUACCCGGGUAGUC
rnacentral:rRNA from 1 species